ensembl:lncRNA
AUAGCCUCCCAGGCCUGCAGGGUGUAUAAGUCUUUGAACUUUGCUGUGUAAUUCACUUUUCUGCAUGCGGGGCCUUGAAGGGGGGGCCCAGAGAACAUGGACUUCAGGGGAUCCGUGCACGUCUGGAAAUUGUAUGCACUGUGUUUUUGGAAAUGGUUUUCACAAAAUGGGUAUGAGCAUUUUGUGAGGAGGGUUCUUAGCCUCACGUGCUAAAGAAGCAGGCUGGGAGUUCCCACCGUGGCUCAGCAGAAACGAAUCUGACUAGCAUCCGUGAGGACGCAGGUUCGAUCCCUGGCCUUGCUCAGUGGGUUAAGGAUCCGGUGUUGACGUGAGCUGUGGUGUAGGUCUCAGAUGUGGCUUGGAUCCUGAGUUGUUGUGGCUGUGGCGUAGGCCGGCGGCUACAGCUCCAAUUGGACCCCUAGCCUGCAAACCUCCAUAUGCCGCGGGAAGCGGCCCUAGGAAAAAAAAAAUAGAUAAAAAAUGAAAAAAUAAAACGAUGGGACUGCUUUCUAUCCCUUAGAACUGGGUAGCAGAUGUAUCAUCAGUAGUGACAUUAUUAACAUUCUUACAGCCCUUUGUGCUGUCCCCUGAACCCGCAAGUCUGCCUCCCGUGCCCUUCCUGCAUCCUCUUGGACGGGAGGGACUGCGGGUCCCCCCUGCAGAUGAGGACAGGGAGGCUCCCGGCAGACAAGAGCCCCCGCUGCUGAGGCUCAGAGGAGUGGCUUCGGCUUGCAUUCUGGUGACCGGACAGAUCAUAAGACAGUCACCGUGUACAGAGUGUGACGCGUGUCUUGCCCCUUGAAUUCCUGGAAGUUAGGGCCGUCAGAGAGUCAAGGGAGACUUCCUAGAAUAAAUGACGCUUAAUCUGAGCCCUGAGACACGGGCAGGAAUAGGCCAGGCGGGGCGUGGGCAUUGUGUGUGGAGACAGCAGCGUGUGCCAGUUCCUAGAGGCAGGGGGAUGCCUCUUGGCAAGAGGGGGUGGAGAUAAAGCAAAAGAGCAGUUUCCUGGACACCCCCCCAAAAAACCCCAGAUGGAUGUCAGAAAAAAAAAGGAAGAGAAUAGAGCAGAGAAUCAUCUUUGGAUUUGUAGACACCCCUACAAACCACGCUGCUGUUUAAAAUAAUUCCCAGGAGAGUUCAUGACGCGGGGAUGCGGUGGGUGUGCUGCGGCAGGAGGCGCGUGUGUGAAAUUGCCUGGAUGCCGUGAAGAUGAAUCUACUGAGGACGGAGACCUAGAAGGUUCGUGGAAGAAGGAAAGGAGCUCUUGGGUUGAGGUGGUGCAUUUGGAAAACGCGUUCUAAUGGGGUCGAGGCCCCGGCGCUCAUUCCACUGGGCCUCCAGCCUCUUGGUUCUGAUUCAUUUCAUGCUUGCGGGCUGUGUUCCAGGCCCUGGGCUGGAGCACGUCUCAGGCACGUCUGUGUGUCCAUCCCUGACUGGGUCAGCGUUCAGAGAGCUCGGCCCUUGGCCCCAGAGCCCCACAAGAAUCUCUGUGUUCUCACUUGCCCUUGGGACUCCUGUGAUUCAAAUUCCCUUUUUGUUCACUUGAGGAAAAAGAAAAGGCAGUUCCAGUUAGUGAAAAAGACUCCUUCCACCAUCUCGAUGGCAUGAAGCAGGGAAAUUAAGGAGCCACAGGGGCGACAGCUGAAAUAACUGGGUAUCAGGCAGAUGUGUCCAUUUGACCUAGCUUAUUACUGUUUGGAGUCUGGUGCUUCUGGAAAAUUGCCUGGUUCCUUCUAAGUUUUCCACAGGGAUCAAAGGCUUUGUGUGCUUGGAAUGUGUUGUCAUGCAGUUAGUUGGAAGCUUUCGCUUUCAUGCAGGUCAAUGAGAAAAAAGCAGUGUGCGGCCGUGACAUGGGGCAUCAACACAGCCUUUGUUCCUUGGUCCUCUUGAUAUGUAUUCUGAGUGUCUGUCCCUUCUGUAGGCAGCCUCAGGACAAGGGACAGGUAAAAACUGUGCUUAAAAUAUGGUAUUUGCUUUAAAAUGCUCCCAGCACACACAAACACGCACACUAUGUAUGGGAGAAUAUGAAAUCAGAAAGGUGAGGGUAUAUGGGUUUCUUUAUAUUCUUCUCUUCACCUUACUUAUGUUUGGCAUUUUUCACAAGAAAAAAACUUAAGGAGUUCCCACUGUGGCUCUGUGGGUUAAGAACCCAACAUAGUGUCUGUGAGGAUACGGGUUCAAUUUCUGCCCUUGCUCAGUGGGUUAAAGGUCUGGCAUUGCCACAAGCUACAGAUCGCAGAUGUGUCUCGGAUCUGGCUGCGGUGUAGGCCUGCAGCUGCAGCUCCCAUUCAGCCCCUAGCCUGGGAACCCAUAUGCUGCUGGUAGAGCCAAAAAAAAAAAAAAGAAAGAAAAAUCUUAAAUAGCAUUUAAAAGACUGGUAACAGGGAGUUCCCUUGUGGCACAGUCGUUUAAGGAUCCAGUGUUGUCGCUACAGCAGCUCAGGUUACUGCUAUGGUGCAGGUUCUGUACCUGGCCUGGGAACCUCCCCAUGUCGCAGGUGUAGCCAAAAGUGAAAAAUAGAAGACUGGAACAAAUGUGAAAAGCCCUACAUGACAGUACACUUUCUGAUAUUUUUGGGGAUAGCCAACCCCGGAUGCCACGACCCUCCUUGGACCCUAGAGUUCAGGGAGUGGCUGCGGAUGGGGUAGGGGAAGCAGAGGGGCCCAGAGGUGGCAGCUGUCCCUGGAAUAGACAUUAGAAUAGAUAAAAUGUCUUGGGAGUUCCUGUCGUGGCACAGCGGAAACGAGUCCAACUGGGAACCAUGAGGUUUCGGGUUCGAUCCCUGGCCUUACUCAGUAGGUUAAGGAUCCAGCGUUGCUGUGAGCUGUGGUGUAGGUUGAAGACACAGCUCGGAUCUGGUGUUGCUGUGGCUGUGGUGUAGGCUGGCGGCUACAGGUCGGAUUAGACCUGUAGCCUGGGAACCUCCAUGUGCCACAGGUGCGGCCCUAAAACAACAAAUAGACCAAAAAAAAAA